UUAAAGGGCUAACGAUACGUAUAACACAAUGUUUUGUAGAAAUGUGACAUACAUUUUAUUAACUAUGAAUGAAGAGACUUUCUUUAGAUUGAUCCCUUUAAUGAUGGACAAAUGACCAACGAUGGCUAAUUGUUUCCGAGGUGUCUUAACCUGGCGGGAGAAAGAAUGUCUGCACCAGUGUUUAUUCCCGUCAGUGAAGGGAAAUACAAGGAAGAUACCUCAAGGACCUUUUAUCAGUCUUGGAGAUGGCCACAAGAGGAAGCUAAUUAAAUUAAGCUUUAAUUAGAAAUAGGAAUAAAUCCGUAAUAUUAACCACUUCAGUUUCAAGUCAGGUCUCCCAGAGUGAGUGUGCGGCAUGAUAUACUCACUCGCGACAGGGGGUGAAUAUUUGGACAAAUACUAUUACUACAAUGACAACAAAGGACGGUGACAAGAGUUGGUUUACGGAUACCUCAACAGCUGUCAUUUCUUUACUUAUAUCUGACAGCGGUCUUUCCCUAAACUCAAAAUAUGUGUGAACAAAUCAUUUUAGCACGUUGUACUUUUGAUCGAAUGUCGGUUGUGAUGUUGAGGAAACUUCCUGCUUGUUAAUGUUUAUUUAAGUAAAGAUUGAAAGACGGGACAAACCCCUGGUACACCUUUUCCCGCGAAAAUGCUUAAAUGUGAAUAGUGUGGCCACAAGGAGAUUGGGUAUGGGCAGGCUUCUGCGGCAUCGCUGUUCGUGUAACACCGUAGAACACCCGGUGCUCGAUCGCAUGUCUUCCAGAACAGAUGACAGAAUCCGCUAUGCAGACAUUAUUAGGCAACACAAAUAUCUUUCGAUUAAUCAUCGAACAUCGUAUGACUUACUUGGUCUCCACGUCUCCAUAGGGAUGUGUCACCAUUAUAGUCCCUACAUCAGUACCCUCCUCCUCCCUCGGCAGUGACGGUCACAUGAAGAGGCAGCCCCGGACAUUGCAGCAACCUCACGCCCUGACGGACGUUACCGUUAUGUUUUUGAGGACAUCAUCAUUGCGUAAACUGGGGGUUAGAUUCAUCCAUAUGUAGACAGAGCACGCUGCACGCGCAAGUGUCUCCACAGUGAAAGCGUUAACAAUCAGCGGGAUAACACAAGGAUUCUGUGAAUGAAACAGUAAAUAUUCUUGAAGAUUGCCACAGCUCCGAGAGUGUCAUAUAGUGAGCGCCCCUCAACAUGAAGUGGUGGCGCUUAAAAACUUGGUGAAAUAACGCACGGACAAAUUCCCAUUGCAUGAUAACAUAAGCCUUUUCGCGGGCGGCAGUGAGGGGGAAAGAAGGGCUUUAUUUACGAAUGUUGUGAUAAGAGUGAUUUAAUACCGUCAUUAAACACUGACUUGAAAUAAUCUUCACAUGAAGCGGUUUCUAACUGUUUUAUGAGAUGUAUUAAGUACACCACUUUUAGAUAUUAAUUUUUGAAGAGGUAAAACGCAGGCGACUUGCCGCAUGGUUGGAAAACCGGUGAAGAUAGACGUAGGAUAAAAUUGAAAUUGUU